GUGUGAGUGCUGGAUGAUGGGUGUGUGAGUGCUGGAUUGUGUGUGUGUGUGUGCUGGAUGAUGGGUGUGUGUGAGUGCUGGAUGAUGGGUGUGUGAGUGCUGGAUGAUGUGUGUGUGAGUGCUGGGUGAUGUGUGAGUGAGUGCUGGAUGAUGUGUGAGUGAGUGCUGGAUGAUGUGUGUGUGCUGGAUGAUGGGUGUGUGAGUGCUGGAUGAUGGGUGUGUGUGUGCUGGAUGAUGGGUGUGUGUGUGCUGGAUGAUGGGUGUGUGAGUGCUGGAUGAUGGGUGUGUGUGUGCUGGAUGAUGGGUGUGAGUGCUGGAUGAUGGUGUGUGUGUGCUGGAUGAU